ACCGUUGAAUCGCUUUGAAUGUGCACCGUCAGAAGCCAACAGACAAGAUUUACCGUUGUCAGGCUAGGAUAGUGAUUUGUUGGCUCUCCUGUUGCUGUUGCAUCUCCUGCCCCCUACACCAAGAGGCCACAAAAAACAACAAAGAUUAGCUCAGCAGAGGCAGCUAAUCAUCUUGUGAGAUUUCUUAAGCGAGGAGCCAGCCUCACUACAUUCCUGGACAAAGUUGAUGCAAGACAGCCCUUCCUUCUCUGCAUUGGUGAGCAAAUGAAGAAGAUCCAAAAGUUUUUUCAUCAUUGUGGACCAGAAAGUGAUCCUGUGCAAUGCUCAGGCAUCAGUUGCUGCUUUUGAUGUGCUAUUCAAAGCUCACUUUGUCUUCAGCCUCUCUUAUGAUUAAGCUCUCUCCAGUUUUAA